GAUGAACGCUGGCGGCGUGCCUAAUACAUGCAAGUCGAGCGAACGGACGAGAAGCUUGCUUCUCUGAUGUUAGCGGCGGACGGGUGAGUAACACGUGGAUAACCUACCUAUAAGACUGGGAUAACUUCGGGAAACCGGAGCUAAUACCGGAUAAUAUUUUGAACCGCAUGGUUCAAAAGUGAAAGACGGUCUUGCUGUCACUUAUAGAUGGAUCCGCGCUGCAUUAGCUAGUUGGUAAGGUAACGGCUUACCAAGGCAACGAUGCAUAGCCGACCUGAGAGGGGGAUAGGCCACACGGGAACGGAGACAGGGUCCAGAGUACUAAGGGACGGAGCAGUAGGGAACCGUCCGCAAUGGGGGAAAGCCUGACGGAGCAACGCCGCGUGAGUGAUGAAGGUCUUCGGAGCGUAAAAAUCUGUUAUUAGGGAAGAACAUAUGUGUAAGUAACUGUGCACAUCUUGACGGUACCUAAUCAGAAAGCAACGGCUAACUACGUG
rnacentral:rRNA from 1 species